rnacentral:rRNA from 1 species
UACGUAGGGUGCGAGCGUUAAUCGGAAUUACUGGGCGUAAAGCGUGCGCAGGCGGUUUGUUAAGACAGAUGUGAAAUCCCCGGGCUUAACCUGGGAACUGCAUUUGUGACUGGCAAGCUAGAGUAUGGCAGAGGGGGGUAGAAUUCCACGUGUAGCAGUGAAAUGCGUAGAGAUGUGGAGGAAUACCCGAUGGCGAAGGCAGCCCCCUGGGCCAAUACUGACG